ensembl:snRNA U2 U2 spliceosomal RNA
AUCGCUUCUCUGCCUUUUGGCUAAGAUCAAGUGUAGUAUCGAAAUGAGAAACACUUGGUCCUCUGGCCUUUAGGUUGUCAAAGGCUUCACUUCCUUUGCCCCAGACAUUAGGCAGGCGGGAGGUAAUUUUU